GUCAGAUAGACAAGAACCUUAAUAAAACAGGAGCCAAUGGCCCUGGCAUUCCGCUCAGCAGUGCCUUGAAAACACAGGCACUAAUAAACUGCUUUGUGAAUUGUCUUUCUGGGAAUAUCUGUAUGUUGCAGAAGGCUCGUUCUCCCUGCAGAAGCCUCUAUGCUCUCCUGUGAGAGGGCUGGGAAGCAGGACUUGCUGUGCUCUUGUUCUUUAAUCACUUGUGAGGCAACACAGGGUAAUAUUAUUGUAUCAUCUGGCCAGCUGACAGGAAGAGAUUAAAAAUUAUUUCAACAGCAAUACAUUGAAACUCCAAAGUAGUCCAGGGCAUUGCGGUGACCUUCAACGAACCCUUGCUAUAUGACUCAGAAGCAAGAUGCAGCCAAGUUGGGGCCAAGAUGGAUUUUGAGAAAAGGCAAAUUCUGACUUUUCUGCCUCACUGGAUUCAGCAUCUCCUGCUUACCCAGAGCUGUCUGAAACAGCACGAGAAACUAGCGGAGUCUCAUAAAGUGUGUUACUAAAAAA
rnacentral:lncRNA from 1 species